AGCCCAGAGCCUGAAUCAGUGUGUGUGUUAGUGGAAGCGUCUGGAAAGGCGCGCGAUACAGGGUGACAGCCCCGUACACAAAAAUGCACAUGCUGUGAGCUCGAUGAGUAGGGCGGGACACGUGGUAUCCUGUCUGAAUAUGGGGGGACCAUCCUCCAAGGCUAAAUACUCCUGACUGACCGAUAGUGAACCAGUACCGUGAGGGAAAGGCGAAAAGAACCCCGGCGAGGGGAGUGAAAAAGAACCUGAAACCGUGUACGUACAAGCAGUGGGAGCACGCUUAGGCGUGUGACUGCGUACCUUUUGUAUAAUGGGUCAGCGACUUAUAUUCUGUAGCAAGGUUAACCGAAUAGGGGAGCCGAAGGGAAACCGAGUCUUAACUGGGCGUUAAGUUGCAGGGUAUAGACCCGAAACCCGGUGAUCUAGCCAUGGGCAGGUUGAAGGUUGGGUAACACUAACUGGAGGACCGAACCGACUAAUGUUGAAAAAUUAGCGGAUGACUUGUGGCUGGGGGUGAAAGGCCAAUCAAACCGGGAGAUAGCUGGUUCUCCCCGAAAGCUAUUUAGGUAGCGCCUCGUGAAUUCAUCUCCGGGGGUAGAGCACUGUUUCGGCAAGGGGGUCAUCCCGACUUACCAACCCGAUGCAAACUGCGAAUACCGGAGAAUGUUAUCACGGGAGACACACGGCGGGUGCUAACGUCCGUCGUGAAGAGGGAAACAACCCAGACCGCCAGCUAAGGUCCCAAAGUCAUGGUUAAGUGGGAAACGAUGUGGGAAGGCCCAGACAGCCAGGAUGUUGGCUUAGAAGCAGCCAUCAUUUAAAGAAAGCGUAAUAGCUCACUGGUCGAGUCGGCCUGCGCGGAAGAUGUAACGGGGCUAAACCAUGCACCGAAGCUGCGGCAGCGACGCUGAUGCGUUGUUGGGUAGGGGAGCGUUCUGUAAGCCUGC
rnacentral:rRNA from 1 species